GCCGAAGCAGGUGGAUGCCCCCCGGGGGGUUCACUGCACCCAGCACCCAGGUGCAUCUGUCUGUGAUGAGGUUGGCACGCCUACCCAGGAGGGGCCCAGACUUGCAGAGGGGACCUGGUGGCCCUCUUCCUUCUAGACUCACUCAGCUCCACCUGUUCAACAGGUGUUUCUUGGGCACUUCUUAUGAGCAGAUGCUGUCUUAAGGGCUGCAGGCACAGCACCAACAGGGAAGGCAGGCCUGGCCGGCUCAGGAGUGGACACACACACAUGCACACACACUCACACUAAAUGUAAAAGCAUAUAAACAGGAGCCUCAUCUCCCAGCCAGGAGUCAGCCAAGAUUGAAGACAACAGAAACCUGGAGGAGCUGGUCACAGGGUGAGGGCAUGGAUCAGCCUUCAGGAAAUGGAUGAUCCAGGUGUCUGGGAACAGAGAAGAUGCAGGGCAGACACAAGCUGGCUUUCAAUUCCCUUUUCUUUCCCCUUGAAACAUGAUAAAGAAAAUCCAUUUUGGUGCCCACCAUCCUGGGACCUCCCCCAUGGACCUGAAGUGGCACCCUCAGAGGCAUGGGAUGGAAUCGUCCAUGUGGCCAAGGAGAGCUGAGCAGGGCUCGGCACUGGGACUGCCCUGCCGACAACAGCCCAUCAGGCAGUGUCCUCUUGCCCAUGGGAGGAAGGGCUGCUCACAAUAGGGCGCUGAUUGUGCCUCCCCUCCAUAUGCUGUGCUCACCCUCAUGGAGGGAGCGUGACAGCAGAGCCACUUCCAUGAAUCCUCGUGAUUUGCUGUAAAGACGGAGUCAUACCAAUGGGUCGCAUCUGUCUGCGUUCCUCUCUCCCGUGUCCCUUCUCAAGUCACGUCAGCCCUCCUGCUAGUUCCGUUUUGCAGGAUGUUCUGCAGCUUGUGCCACAGUCAGUGUCCAGACAUCCCCCAGCUCCAACGACUUGACCGGGAAGGGACCUCCCAAAGCGCGUGCCGCCCACCGACGCCCAACUCCCUGGCCUGGGCUCUGGGCCCAGGUGCCUCCCUGUCCCCUGCCCGCUCCCUGUGUCCUCUCAUUGUGGUGGGGACAGCACACCUGCGGCCUGCCAGCUGGCCACUACAGACACUCCACGGUCUGUCUGGCAACGAGGGACACUGUCCACAAUCCGUCUUCCGGGCCCACUCGCCUUUUGGUUUGAGGCCAACAGCCGGGGCCAGAGCUCCUCGCCGAGCAGCUGGCCUCCCAUUGGCCUGACCCCGCCGCCCCGAGGGCCCAUAAGCGGUUCCGAAUCCUGCUUUCUGGGUGCCCACCCUUUCUGCGGUGAAGACCCCAAACCACCGGCGUGGACACAGCAAGAGCGUGGAGUGUGUCCCUCCCCUUGACACCCAGGUCCUCUCUGCAGCCAGGUCUUUGAGGCUCCGGGUCGCAGUGCCUCCUCUCUGCCCCAAGUCUCUCCACCUUGAUGGCUCUAGCAUCGGCAACCACACGGUCAGCAACGAGGCAGCCGAGCCUGGCAUGUGGCCCUUCCCUGGGCCGGCCUGUCCCCUCCUGGCACCGUCCCCAAACCCCCACUGACUUUGAAUGAGCAGGGAGGUCCAGGGGCUCAGGUUUGCUUCUGACGCGUUCCCUUCAAUAUGACACCCAGCUGUGCGUGUGUGUUGUGUGUGUUCGUUUUGUGCCUCGUACGUGUUGACCUCCUUGGGACCUGUCGGGACAAAUAAGGUCAGAGUGUCAACGUGUCAGGAGUGGCUUCGUGGAGAUCUCUUAGCUGCUCUAGAAAGAUGGGCAGCAUUUAAGAGUUCCCGUCGUUGCUCAGUGGGUUAAGUACCCAACUAGUGUCCGUGAGGAGGCGGGUUCGAUUCCCUGGCCUCGAUCAGUGGGUUAAGGAUCUGGCAUUGCCGUGAACUGCGGCUCUGGUCCCGCGUGGCUGUGGCAUAGGCCAGCGGCUACAGCUCUGAUUGGACCCCUAGCCUGGGAACCUCCAUGUGCUGCGGGUGUGGCCCUAAAAUGACAAAUAGUUGGGCAGCACUUGGAUAACCAGGAGGUAAGGCAGAGGGUUUCAGGUGGAAGGGCCACCGGACCCCAGGAACAAAGCUUGAAGAAGCUUCGGACACCCAUCUGGUGCCUCCACAGCGCUCGCCCAGUGAUGGUUGAACAGGUGGCAAGAAUGACGCCACCCACCUGGCGAGCCGCCACUAUGAACAGGGAGAGAAAUAGAGGGCGGGGAGUUAAACCUUCUGGCUGGGCCUUUCGAUGGCUGUCUGCUCAACAUUCCCGAAGCAUCAUCGGUGUGGCCACACCCCGGGCCUGUCUGCAGGCUGCGGCAGCUCCCGCUGCCCGUCGGGGAGAGCCACGGUGCCUGGCGCAUCACCCAAAGCCCGACGUCAUGUUCCUGCUCUGACCAACUCCGUCUGCUCGCUGCCGCUGCCCAGGUGCCGGGCCCGCAUCGCACCACCUCCCUCUCCAGCUUAAGCCCGGAACCUUGCAGCCACCAGGCCCCGGGCCCUCACUGCCUCGUGGAACGUAGGUUUUCUUGGGGGCAAAUCAAUGCCUGGACUCAGGAGCCGCGCUCACCGCAGAGGCUUGUUUAGACUGUCUGAGGUUUGAUGCCGGCUUCAGGUUUGUUCAGGGGGAUUUUGUUCACACUGGGCCCUCGGCCUGAAGGCCCUGCUUCCUUCUCUCAUGCAAACCAGCCGUCUCAUGCUUCAGAAACGCCGCGUGGAGCUCCCUGCCCUGGAAGCGGAGCAGAGGCUGCCCAUCGGGGCUGAACUGCACACUGACAUCUGUCCUUCGCCUGCUGGUGCCUUGGGUGUGACACUGCAGGAUUUCUCCCGAGCCGGUGAUCCCCAGAAACAGCCAGCUGAAGAAAUCCACUCUUUGUUCCCCGGGCGAUGCCUCCUGCGGGGAGGCCCUCUGCCUGUGACCUUGAACAAGGCCAGACACCGCCCUCCAGGUUGCCAGGCUUCGACUGAUGAAUGAUUAGCUGGAGCGCAUGUCCUACUGGCCCAUGGGGGCCAAAUGCUUGUAACCCCAACGGCGAUUCGGCUCUGCCUGCCCUCAGGCCCCUGACCUGUGGCCACUCCCAGGGGGCCUUCCUCAAGAGCCUCUCCUGGAAAACGGGCUGGACCCAGGGACACCUCCUCUGCUCCACCCCAGGCGGCCACUCCUUUCAAACCAGGGUCUCCAUCCUGGGCCCCUCUUUGCUGGUGGCUGGAAGCCUGGGACAGAGGUGGGGGGGGCUUCCCCCCCAUAGCUCCUCUGGGAGGUCGGGGGGGGGGCACGAGCACUGUUGCUCCCCCUGGGCCAGCCUUCCCGGGAGCAUCGGGAAUGAAACAUCAUCAUGUGCAGGUCAGAUGCUCCCACAUUCCAGGUUCGAAACUCUCCCGAUCCCUUUGCCCAUGAACUGGUUCCGGAACAAAUAAACAGUCAGUUUAAACACCAAGGGGGCGUGGCCCUCUCUGGUCCAGGCACCUCGUCCUGGAGAGGCAGGGGUCAUGGGCGGUGGCCUGGCGAGCCUGCCCCCAGGGAGCCGGCGACCACAGGGACGCUCUGCCUUGGGGCGGUGGGGAGCCGCUGUCCCGCGUCCACAUUGCUGGGCCUCCAGGCACUGGGCUUCUCUCCUCCAGGGCCACCCUCGCCAUCCCUCCUGGCCCAUCCUCUUAAAAUAGUGCCGUCUUUCUCCCCCACCACCCCGAGCUGCCGUCCGCCAAGCCUGAUGGGGGCUGCGUGGUUUUCUCACCUUCUAAGGCCGAGCAGAGGCGGGAGGCUCUAUUUAUAAUUUGGGGGAUUUUUGAAAUCAUACCGCUUUCAUUAUAAAAUGCCUUAAGCCUUCAGACACAGCAAUCAAACGUAGCAAUAUCCGGUGCCGUUUAAGGAUCCAUGCAUUUCAGAAAAUAUUAUCAAAGCGCUUAAGUCUAAAGGACGUUCAUGGCCAUUGCAGGAGCGCGUGGACAGGGCUCAUGGCCCGAGGGGCACGUGUCCUUAUCAACAGGGACGCACCACAGCGUUUCGUGGCUGGGGCUGGUCAGUGUCCUCACAGCCACGGCCUCCUUGGGGCGGUGCUAUUUUUGGACGCUCGUUUAUAGACGUGUUUUAACGCCUUCACAACCAACCCUUUGCCGAUCAAGCAGACAUCUACUCUGUGGGGCAAUUCAGGAUUUGUGCCUUUGAAAUCCCCUCGGGAGACUUGAAAAUCCAGUUUGUUGUGUCUUUAAGACUUAAAAUAAACUAACACGGGGCUGAAACAUACUGAGGUUAAUUUGCAGCUUCUUCUGCAACAUGAGAGCUUCUGUUCCACUCACAGGCGCCUCUGCUUUGCUUCUUAAACUGUGUAAAAAUAUUCCAAGGCUCAAAGUAGAACCGUCAGAAUCUUUGAUGCCUAAGAGGUGGUGCACUCGCCUGAAGUGGCGGCACCUGCUCUGUCCUGCAGGCCCCCCCUGGGGGGAGGCGGGGGGUGUGUCUCGAGACAUGGGAACGCUCCCCGCGGUGCCGUCUGUGCUCAAGCAGCCUGGUAUCAGAGGAGCUGCAGAAUGUAUUGCGGGGAGCAGGGGACAGGCCGCUGGGAACGAAGCCUCCAGAGCGGCUCAGCACCCCCACGCAGGGCUCCCCCAGGCUGGCAAGGAAAACCAUAGACUUGACAGCUGCUGGAGUUAACGGCAUCCCUGAAAAACCAGUGCCAGCACGUAGGACAUCGGACGGGGUACACAUGCAAGACAGAUUGCCAGGUGGCCUGGACGUGGAUAACAGAGUAAUGAGGGAUCCAUCACAUUAGAAAAUGCUUCCAGAUCGCAUCACAUGAGACGAUGUCACGAGAGUCCAGUCCCGCCAGCCUGAGGACUCUGCAGGCGAGAGUCGCCACUCCCAGCCUCUCGGGGCCUCUGGGCCCUCGGAACAUGGACGUACUUAGGGAGCUUCGAACACUUAAUAAUUUAGAACGGAUAAGCAAUGAGGUCCUGCCGUGCGGCACAGGGAACUAUAUCCAGUCUCUCUGGAUAGACCGUGAUGGAAGAUCAUACGGGAAAGGAGUGUAUAUAUACACACGACUGGGUCCCUUUGCUGUGCAGCAGAAAUUGGCACAACAUGUAAAUCCACUACACUUUAAUUGUAAAAAUAUUUCUUAAAAAAAGACUCGGUAGGAGUUCCUGUCAUGGCGCAGUGGUUCACGAAUCCGACUAGGAACCAUGAGGUGGCGGGUUCAAUCCCUGGCCUUGCUCAGUGGGUUAAGGAUCAGGCAUUGCCGUGAGCUGUGGUGUGGUUGCAGGCGAGGCUCGGAUCCCCGCGUUGCUGUGGCUGUGGUGUAGGCUGGCGGCUCCAGCUCCGAUUCGACCCCUAGCCUGGGAACCUC
rnacentral:lncRNA from 1 species